rnacentral:rRNA from 1 species
UGGCUCAGGACGAACGCUGGCGGCGUGCCUAAUACAUGCAAGUCGAACGAGAGCGACCGGUGCUUGCACUGGUCAAUCUAGUGGCGAACGGGUGAGUAACACGUGGGUAACCUGCCCAUCAGAGGGGGAUAACAUUCGGAAACGGAUGCUAAAACCGCAUAGGUCUUCGAACUGCAUGGUUUGAAGAGGAAAAGAGGCGCAAGCUUCUGCUGAUGGAUGGACCCGCGGUGCAUUAGCUAGUUGGUGAGGUAACGGCUCACCAAGGCCGUGAUACAUAGCCGACCUGAGAGGGUGAUCGGCCACACUGGGACUGAGACACGGCCCAGACUCCUACGGGAGGCAGCAGUAGGGAAUCUUCGGCAAUGGACGGAAGUCUGACCGAGCAACGCCGCGUGAGUGAUGACGGCCUUCGGGUUGUAAAGCUCUGUUAAUCGGGACGAAAGGUCUUCUUGCGAAUAGUUAGAAGAAUUGACGGUACCGGAAUAGAAAGCCACGGCUAACUACGUGCCAGCAGCCGCGGUAAUACGUAGGUGGCAAGCGUUGUCCGGAAUUAUUGGGCGUAAAGCGCGCGCAGGCGGAUCAGUCAGUCUGUCUUAAAAGUUCGGGGCUUAACCCCGUGAUGGGAUGGAAACUGCUGAUCUAGAGUAUCGGAGAGGAAAGUGGAAUUCCUAGUGUAGCGGUGAAAUGCGUAGAUAUUAGGAAGAACACCAGUGGCGAAAGGCGACUUUCUGGACGAAAACUGACGCUGAGGCGCGAAAGCCAGGGGAGCGAACGGGAUUAGAUACCCC